rnacentral:rRNA from 1 species
UACAGAGGGUGGCAAGCGUUGUUCGGAAUUAUUGGGCGUAAAGGGCGCGUAGGCGGUGCCACAAGUCACCUGUGAAAUCUCCGGGCUUAACUCGGACCUGCAGGCGAAACUGUGGUGCUGGAGUGUGGGAGAGGUGCGUGGAAUUCCCGGUGUAGCGGUGAAAUGCGCAGAUAAGUCGGGAGGAACACCCAGUAGCGAAGGCGACACUCUGGGCCGGUACUGAACGCUGAGGAGGCGAAAGCGUGGGGAGCAACAGG